rnacentral:rRNA from 1 species
UACAGAGGUCUCAAGCGUUGUUCGGAUUCAUUGGGCGUAAAGGGUGCGUAGGCGGCGCGGUAAGUCGGGUGUGAAAUCUCGGGGCUUAACUCCGAAACGUGCAUUCGAUACUGCCGUUGCUUGAGGACUGGAGAGGAGACUGGAAUUUACGGUGUAGCGGUGAAAUGCGUAGAUAUCGUAAGGAAGACCAGUGGCGAAGGCGG